UACGUAGGCAGCGAGCGUUUGUUCGGAGUUACUGGGCGUAAAGGGUGUGUAGGCGGUUCUUUAAGUUUGGUGUGAAAUCUCCCGGCUCAACCGGGAGGGUGCGCCGAAUACUGAGGGACUCGAGUGCGGGAGAGGAAAGUGGAAUUCCUGGUGUAGCGGUGAAAUGCGUAGAUAUCAGGAGGAACACCGGUGGUGUAGACGGCUUUCUGGACCGUAACUGACGCUGAGACACGAAAGCGUGGUAGCAAACAGG
rnacentral:rRNA from 1 species